rnacentral:rRNA from 1 species
AGUGAACGCUGGCGGCAGGCCUAACACAUGCAAGUCGAACGGCAGCACAAGAGAGCUUGCUCUCUGGGUGGCGAGUGGCGGGCGGGUGAGGAAUGCAUCGGAAUCUGCCCAUUUGUGGGGGAUAACCUCGGGAAACCGGGACUAAUACCGCAUACGACCUACGGGUGAAAGCAGGGGAUCUUCGGACCUUGCGCAGAUGGAUGAGCCGAUGCCGGAUUAGCUAGUUGGAGGGGUAAAGGCCCACCAAGGCGACGAUCCGUAGCUGGUCUGAGAGGAUGAUCAGCCACACUGGGACUGAGACACGGCCCAGACUCCUACGGGAGGCAGCAGUGGGGAAUAUUGGACAAUGGGCGCAAGCCUGAUCCAGCCAUGCCGCGUGUGUGAAGAAGGCCUUCGGGUUGUAAAGCACUUUUGUUGGGAAAGAAAAGCAGCCGGUUAAUACCCGGUUGUCAUGACGGUACCCAAAGAAUAAGCACCGGCUAACUUCGUG